CACGACGAAGUCCGGCCUCGUCCCAAAGAUUGCUCUUCCGUUCCAUGCUUCCAUGUGCUGCAGCCACCAAGAGAGUUCUUCUUUGGCAGCACAAUCGAGAGGUACAGAGUCUGAAUAGGAGAGACCUGACCGAAGGUAUUUUGCCUUUAGGCGUUGAAGGGCCCUGUAGUGAAGUGGGCCCGGGAAAAUGGCCUGGAUGGAGGCCGAGAGAAGGCCGAUGAUCCUGGCCAGUUG